GCCAUCGCUGCUGCAGCCACCACCCCUCUGGAUGUCUGCAAGACCCUGCUCAACACCCAGGAGUCCCUGGUGGGGCUCCCCGCUGCAGGCCAGGGUGGAGGUCAGGGGACACACAGACACAUCACGGGCCUGGCCCAUGCCUUCCGGACAGUGUACAGGCUGGGUGGCCUGCCUGGGUUCUUUAAAGGAGUCCAGGCCAGGGUGAUCUAUCAGAUGCCCUCCACAGCCAUCAGCUGGUCCGUCUAUGAGUUCUUCAAGUACGGAAUCACCAAGCACCAGCACGAGAAGAGGGUCGCGCUGCAGCGGGAGGAAAAAUAAAUCAUGUCCUAUUUUCUUUCAGCCAUAUCUCUUCACCAUAUCUUCCUUUUUUUUUUAUAAAUCUAUCAACUUUAAAUCAUUGUCAUUUAAUUUAGCUAAGAUCAGGUACAUUCUGUCCAGGCAUUUUGUUAAAACAGGUUGAAUAUAAAUCUUGCAGUUUUUUCUAUACAUCGACAGGACAGAACAGCUGCGCCUGGGAAGCUUAGUGGAGGGGGUGUAUCUCUUUGUUAACAACAGCUAGUGCGUGAUCUUUAAUAUUAUGGCAGUCGCAAGGUUCUGCUCGCCUGAAUUAGAAUAGCUCAUGAUAAGCUGUAGACCACACAUGUCACCUGUACAACUAGGGUUCACUUUUACUCCACACACAGAGACGCAUACAAAGCUCUCCAUAACUAUAUCCUCCUGAUACCUGCUUAGAAGCAAAAACUCCAAAAGGAAGUACCAGUGAUGCCAGCAGCAUUGGGAAGUUUGGAUGAAAAGCAUGCCCAGAGUAAAUAGCCUGUUACUAAUGCAUAUAAUGCAUAUAAUCAUUUGGAUAGAAAACACUCUGAAGUUUCCAAAACUGUUAAAAUAAUGUUUGUGAGUAUAACAGAACUCAUAUGGCAGGCAAAAACCUGAGAAAAAUCUAACCAGGAAGUGUGAAAUCUGAGGUUUGUCAUUUUUUUUAAGUGAUUGCCUAUCCAAUAUACUGUGUCUAUGAGGUCAGACUGCACUUCCCAAGGCUUCCUCUAGAUGUCAAUAGUCUUUAGAAAGUUGUUUCAGACUUCUAUUGUGAAAGGGGAGCUAAUAAGAGCUGUUUCAACAAGUGGUCAGGAUGAAAGUCUUUAGUUUAGUCUCGCGCGUGGCAGUGAGCGCGAGCUCCUUUCCCUUUCCUUUCUAAUGAAAACAGUAUUGUCCGGUUGAAACAUUAUUGAAUAUUUAUUGAAUAUUUAUGAUAAAAACACCAUAAGGAUGGAUUAGAAACAUUGUUUGACAUGUUUCUACGAACUUUAAUGGAACUUUUUUGACUUUUCGUCUGGACUUUGUGAGUGCGCUUUGUGCAUUUGGAUUACUGGACUAAACAUGCGAACAAAAAGGAAAAGGUAUUUGGACAUAAAGAUGAACUUUAUCGAACAAAACAAACAUUUAUUGUUUAACAUGGAGACCUGGGAGUGCCAUCAGAUGAAGAUCAUCAAAGGUAAGUGAUUCAUUUUAACGCUAUUUCUGACUUUUGUGACACCUCUCCUUGGUUGGAAAAUGGCUGUAUGGUUUUCUGUGGCUAGGCGUAAAUACUUUUUGAAAUCGGACAUUGUGACUUCAUUAACAAGAAGUUUAUCUUUAAAAUGGUGUAUAAUACUUGUAUGUUUGAGGAAUUUUAAUAAUGAGAUUUCUGUUGUUUGAAUUUGGCGCCAUGCAAUUUCACUGGCUGUUGGCGAGGUGGGACGCUCACGUCCCGAACGCUCCCAGAGAGGUUAAUAUGGAAGUGGUCUGAUGAAACGGAUGCUAAACCACAGGACUGUUUUGCUAGCACAGACUGGAAUAUGGUCCGAGGUUCAUCCGAUGGCAUUGAGGAGUUUACCACAUUAGUCACCGGUAUUCAGACCUGCUGACUUUUUCCACAUUUUAUUACCUUACAGCCUUAUUCUAAAAUGGAUUAAAUAGUUUUAUCCUCAUCAAUCUACACACAAUACCCCAUAAUGACGAAGUGAAAACAGUUUUCUAGACAUUUUUGCAAGUGUAUUAAAAAUAUAAAACAGAAAUACCUUAUUUACAUACAGUAAUAGUUUUCUACGAGACUCGAAAUUGAGCUCAGGUGCAUCCUGUUUCCAUUGAUCAUCCUUGAGAUGUUUCUACAACUUGAUUGGAGUCCACCUGUGGUAAAUUCAAUUGAUUGGACAUGAUUUGGAAAGGUACACACCUGUCUAUAAGGUCCCACAGUUGACAGUGCAUGUCAGAGCAAAAACCAAGCCAUGAGGUCAAAGGAAUUGUCUGUAGAGCUCUGAGACAGGAUUGUGUCGAGGCACAGAUCUGGGGAAGGGUACCGAAACAUUUAUGCAGCAUUGAAGGUCCCCAAUAACACAGUGGCCUCCAUCAUUAUUAAAUGGAAGAACUUUGGAACCACCAAGACUCUUCCUAGAGCUGGCCGCCCGGCCAAACUGAGCAAUCAGGCAACAAGAGCCUUGGUCAGGCAGGUGACCAAUUUCCCAAUGGUCCCACUGACAGAGCUCCAGAGUUAAAUGUGGAGAAUGGAGAACUUUCCAGAAGGACAACCAUCUCUGCAGCACUCUACCAAUAAGGCCUUUAUGGUAGAGUGGUCAGACGGAAGUCACUCCUCAGUAAAAGGCACACGAUAGCCAGCUUGGAGUUUUCCAAAAGGCACCUAAAGACUCUCAGGCCAUGAGAAACAAGAUUCUCUGGUCUGAUGAAACCAAGAUUGAGCUCUUUGACCUGAAUCCCAAGCAUCAAGUCUGGAGGAAACCUGUCACCAUCCCCACGGUGAAGCAUGGUGGUGGCAGCAUCAUGCUGUGGGGCAGAGAUCCUUGAUGAAAACCUGCUCCAGAGCACUCAGGACCUCAGACUGUGGUGAAGGUUCACCUUCCAAACGAACAAUGACCCUAAGCACACAGCCAAGACAAUGCAGGAGUGGCUUCGGGACAAGUCUCUGAAUGUCCUUGAGUGGCCCAGACAGAGCCUGGAAUCAAACCCAAUCGAACAUCUAUGCAGAGGCCUGAAAAUAGCUGUGCAGCAACGCUCCCCAUCCAACCUGACAGAGUUUGAGAGGAUCUGCAGAGAAUAAUAGGAGAAACUCCCCAAAUAAAGUUGUGCCAAGCUUGUAGCAUCAUACACAAGAAGACUCGAUACAGUAAUCAAUGCAAAAGAUGCUUCAACAAAGUACUGAGUAAAGGGUCUGAAUAUUUGCAAAAAAAUUGCUACAAUUCUAAAAACNNNNNNNNNNGUGUGUGUGUGUGUGUGUGUGUGUGUGUGUGUGUGUGUGGGAGCGGUCGGAGGGAAUGUAGCAGGUUGGAGGAUAUCGUCCACUUAGCUGGCCUUCUAUGGACAGGAGGGCUCUCAAAUAUUCACCCUGGUCUGCCCUGCCAAGAGAAGGUCCGUUUCCACACACACACCCAACGCAUGUCCAAGGAAAAUACAGAUUUCUGUGAGAGGAUCCCUCCUGAGAGAGAUUAAUUUAAAAAGUGUAGUCAUGAGUUUCUUUUUAAGUUGGAAAAUAUUUUUUUAUACAGUAUGUCCAAGCGAAGUAAAUAAACAACACAUGGGGCUCUAUUUCCCUACCAGCUCUCACAGUCUCACAUCAGAAUUAGAUGUUCAUCCAUUUUUCUCAAACGUCAAAUUUAGUGUUUAUUGUUAGGUUUAGACAUUAACUCCAAAUUCUUAAGGUUAGACAUUAACUCUGAAUGGUUAAGGUUAGACAUUAACUCUGAAUGGUUAAGGUUAGACAUUAACUCUGAAUGGUUAAGGUUAGGCAUUAACUCUGAAUGGUUAAGGUUAGGCAUUAACUCUGAAUGGUUAAGGNNNNNNNNNNAUUGUUGUGAAGGGCCAAUGAGUUUCACUGUUAGUCUACACCUGUUGUUUAUGAAGCAUGUGAGGGAUAACAUUCUAUUUGAUUUGAUUCCUAGUCUGUCUGUCUUUUUGUCUGUCUGUCUCUGCCCGCCCCGCCCCUCGCCUCCCCUUCCCUCUUUUUCUCCCCCUACCUCUGUUUUAUGACCCUCUUCAAGUCAAACAGCAGGGAAGCGUGAAGCUGAUGCUUUGCUUUCUCUCUCAGACUAAAUGUUUACAAACUUGUGAAUUAUACACUAUAUAUACAAAAGUAUGUGGACACCCCUUCAAAUUAGUGGAUUCGGCUAUUACAACCACACCUGUUGCUGACAGGUGUAUAAAGUCGAGCACACGGCCAUGCAAUCUUCAUAGACAAACAUUGGCAGUAUAAUGCCCUUACUGAAGAGCUCAGUGACUUUCAAUGUGGCACCGUCAUAGGAUGCCACCUUUCCAACAAGUAAGUUGACCGGGGCAGCCCUACUAGAGCUGCCCCGGUCAACUGUAAGUGCUGCUAUUGUCAAGUGAAAAUGUCUAGGAGCAACAAUGGCUCAGCCACGAAGUGGUAGACCACACAAGCUCACAGAACCGGACUACCGAGUGCUGAAACGCAUAGCGCGUAACACGUUCCCUGGAGUCGUGAAUCACACUUCACCAUCUGGGUUUGGCGGAUGCCAGGAGAAUGCUUCCUGCCUGAAUGCAUAGUGCCAGCUGUAAAGUUUGGAGGAGGAUGAAUAAUGGUCUGGUGCUGUUUUUAGUGGUUCGGGCUAUGCUCCUUAGUUCCAGUAAAGGGAAAUCUUUACGCUACAGCAUACAAUGACAUUCUAUAUGAUUCCGUGCUUCCAACUUUGUGGCUAGAGUUUAGAGA
rnacentral:lncRNA from 13 species